UGGACCAAUGAUGAGUGACACAAGGAUUAUGAUUAAACCAAGUCUAUGCAUCUGAGGUCCAA
ensembl:snoRNA